rnacentral:rRNA from 1 species
UACGGAAGGCAGCAGUGGGGAAUAUUGCACAAUGGGCGCAAGCCUGAUGCAGCCAUGCCGCGUGUAUGAAGAAGGCCUUCGGGUUGUAAAGUACUUUCAGUCGUGAGGAAGGUGUUAAGGUUAAUAACCUUAGCAAUUGACGUUAGCGACAGAAGAAGCACCGGCUAACUCCGUGCUAGCAGCCGCGGUAAUACGGAGGGUGCGAGCGUUAAUCGGAAUUACUGGGCGUAAAGGGCACGCAGGCGGUUAAUUAAGUUGGAUGUGAAAUCCCCGGGCUUAACCUGGGAAUGGCAUUCAAGACUGGUUAGCUAGAGUCUUGUAGAGGGGGUAGAAUUCCAUGUGUAGCGGUGAAAUGCGUAGAGAUGUGGAGGAAUACCGGUGGCGAAGGCGGCCCCUGGACAAAGACUGACGCUCAUGUGCGAAAGCGUGGGGAGCAAACG